UUGGAGGGCAAGUCUGGUGCCAGCAGCCGCGGUAAUUCCAGCUCCAAUAGCGUAUAUUAAAGUUGUUGCAGUUAAAAAGCUCGUAGUUGAAUUUCGGGGUCAGUAGGUUGGUCGUGCCUAUGGUAUGUACUGGCUUUACUGAUUCCUCCUUCUUGAAGAACUGUAAUGUCAUUAAUUUGGUGUUGCAGGGAAACAGGACUGUUACUUUGAAAAAAUUAGAGUGUUUAAAGCAGGCUAACGCUUGAAUACAUUAGCGUGGAAUAAUGAAAUAGGACGUUCGAUCCUAUUUUGUUGGUUUCUAGGAUUGACGUAAUGAUUAAUAGGGAUAGUUGGGGGCAUUAGUAUUCAAUUGUCAGAGGUGAAAUUCUUGGAUUUAUUGAAGACUAACUACUGCGAAAGCAUUUGCCAAGGAUGUUUUCAUUAAUCAAGAACGAAAGUUAGGGGAUCGAAGACGAUCAGAUACCGUCGUAGUCUUAACCAUAAACUAUGCCGACUAGGGAUCGGAUGAUGUUAAUUUUUUAAUGACUCAUUCGGCGCCUUACGGGAAAC
rnacentral:rRNA from 1 species